rnacentral:rRNA from 1 species
CGACCGCUGGCGGCGUGCUUACCACAUGCAAGUCGAACGGCAAGGCCCUGCUUUUGUGGGGUGCUCGAGUGGCGAACGGGUGAGUAACACGUGAGUAACCUGCCCUUGACUUUGGGAUAACUUCAGGAAACUGGGGCUAAUACCGGAUAGGAGCUCCUGCUGCAUGGUGGGGGUUGGAAAGUUUCGGCGGUUGGGGAUGGACUCGCGGCUUAUCAGCUUGUUGGUGGGGUAGUGGCUUACCAAGGCUUUGACGGGUAGCCGGUCUGAGAGGGUGACCGGCCACAUUGGGACUGAGAUACGGCCCAGACUCCUACGGGAGGCAGCAGUGGGGAAUAUUGCACAAUGGGCGGAAGCCUGAUGCAGCAACGCCGCGUGCGGGAUGACGGCCUUCGGGUUGUAAACCGCUUUCGCCUGUGACGAAGCGUGAGUGACGGUAAUGGGUAAAGAAGCACCGGCUAACUACGUG